GAAAAUAGUAAAAGUUAGGUUUUUAUAAUAUAAUUACAAUAAAUUGAUUUACUAGGCCCAGAAUUACGUUUACACUUAAAUGUAUCAUAUUGAAAAUUUAAUUGUCUGAACCCUAUAUGUAUUUCAGGAAGUGCGCAACAUUUAAAAUCAAUUUUUAACUUUGGUAGUGUUGGGUGGUACAGUAAACUAAACUUGAUUUUAGUCAAUAUGGUGUUCAAAUAUAUACAUUUAAUCUGCUUAAGUCUUGCAAUCCAACACUCUACCAGUUUAAUUUUGCUUUUAAGUUAGAACUGUGCCUAUGUCUUAAAGUGUUUAACUAGAUAUAAGAUGAAAAAUACACUACUCACAAGACUUUCAGCUGAAAUUUAUGAAAAAUGUAAAACGUUCAUGCUACAGUGAUAUUAUAUAAAAGUAGAGCAUUUAAGAAGAAGCAUGCAGUGGUAAUUUCUUCAUCUAAAAUAAUUUAUUGAAACAAAAGCUAACAACAAGGUGUAGGCCAGUUCUGGACUGACUAGACACACUUGUCCAGACUGUAAUGGCCAGGGAGACUUGCAUGGUCCAGGGAGUAUUUGCGCUGGAUGAGGAACCAGUGUUGUUCUCCAAUGAAAGUCGACUCACAUUGAGCAGAAAUGAUGCCGACCAAUGCUGUUGGAGACAUCAAGGAGAAUGCUAUGCAUCAGCCACUGUUAUCACCAGAUGAGCCUUUGGAGGUGGUGCUGUUUCAGUCUGGGUGGGUGUGUCUAGUCAAUACAGAACUGCCCUACACCUUGUGAAUGGUACCGUGACAAGCCAAUACUACCUGAAUAACAUCAUUAAUCCAGUCAUUCUGCCUCUGCAUGAGCAACACAGGUCUGAUUUCAGCUUCAUGGACAACAAUGCCCCAGCUCAUCGAGGUCGCAUCAUCAGUGAACGGCUGCUGGAGGCUGGGGUACCUCAAAUGGAGUGGCCUGCACUUUCUCCAGACCUGAAUCCCACAGAAAACCUAUGGGAUCAGCUGAGUUGUCGUGCAGAGGGUCGUAACCCUGCACUCCAGAACCUCAGUGACCUAAGGGCAGCCCUUCAAGAAGAGUGGAAUGCCAUGCCUCAGCAGACAAUAAGUCGACUUGUGAACAGCAUGAGACGUCGUUGUCAAGCUGUAAUUGAUGCUCAAGGACACAUGAUAAGUUAUUGAGACAUUGACAUUUUUGUUGUGGUAUAGCCACCACUGUUUGAGAUGAAGAAAUUACCUCUGCAUGCUUCUACCUAAAUGCCCUACUUUCAUGAUAUAAUUUCACAAUUAUAUUAAUUAAAUAACAUACAAACACAUUUUACUGUUUAGAUUUUUAUAAUGAAUUAUAUUCUUAUUGACCCACCAGUUCACAUUUACAGCUCUGCGUGUUUGCAAGCUAAAAACAUGGGUCGAUUUUCACAUUGGUCUGAACAAAAAAAAACUAAUGUUCCUGCAAUACCGGAGGCUGCAGUUCUAGGACCCUAUUUUUUGGGACAACGCUAUCUACUCCAACAGAGGAGACCUGAUUCAAACAUUAAACAAACAGAUGCAAAGACUAGAUCCAUGGAAACUAUUCAUUUUUUAUCUUUCCAUCUUAUUUUUAAUGUAAGAGCUAGCGUGAACCGUUUGAGGGGGAGUCAGCAAUCUCCAUUUAGCCUUUUUAGCUGUACAAAACAGUUCAUUGUGAUGCUGGCUGUUGUAAAUUAGUAUUUGUAUUCAAAUUAUUUUACAUUUAUUAAAGUACUAAUAAUCACACCAAUUUGUACCGCAAGUGUUUUACCAUUUACUGCACUUUAAGUUUGUCACACAUCAGACGUGAAGCGAUGCGGCUAUUGAAAUGAAGUCUCUCACAGACACAAGUCUUUCUUUCCAAGAAAACUGAACUUAAAACCAGAAUAUAUUGAAAUAAAUUAGGUUAAAUAUUUCAAGAGGGUUACCAACGGGUACGUUUAGGGUUAGGAGUUGGUUAGGACAAUAAUUAAGUGUAUACAAUUAAACUGCAUAAUCCCUUAAAAAAAUAAUAAUAUACAGAAUUGAACAGCAAGUGCUAUAAAAUAGUAUGAGCCACUAAUAUUUGGUCAUUUAGCAGAUGCUUUUAUCCAAAGCGACUUAUAAAUGAGGACAAUGGAAGCAAUCAAAAUCAACAAAAGAGCAAUGGUAUGCAAGUGCUAUAACAAGUCUCAGUUAGCUUAAUUAUUUUUUAAAGAAUAGAAUUAGAAUACAGAGUGCUAGAGUUAGAGGGUCAAAUAAUGAUGGAAGAGAUGUGUUUUUAGCCGAUUCUUGAAGAUGGUUAAGGACUCGGCUGCUGGGAUUGAGUUGGGCAGGUCAUUCCACCAGGAGGGAACAGUUAAUGUAAAAGUCUGUGAAAGUGAUUUUGUGCCUCUUUGGGAUGAACAAAGCGACGUUCACUUGCAGAACGUAAGCUUCUAGAGGCACAUAAGUCUGAAGUAAUUAAUUUAGGUAAAGGGGUGCAGAGCCAGUGAUCGUAGCUAUUGGUAGCCAGUGCAAAUUGAUAAACAGAGGUGUGAUGUUCUUCAUUCUUUCCUACAUUAUUUUUGGCUCAUUAAAAAUUAAUCUUGCUGCAUGUUCUGGAUUAAUUGUAAAGGUUUGAUAGAACUGGCUGGAAGACCUGACAUAAUACAUACAUACAAAAAAUAAAUAAAUAAAAUAAUUAAAAAAAAAAAAUCCUAUAGGGUCCUAGAAAUCCGUAGCAAAACUACAGCCUCCGGUAUUGCAUGAAUACACUACUCACAACAACAGCCUUAUCGAACAUGCACAUUCAUUCUCUGCCAGCAGGAGGCGCUUUCGAACGGUUUCCGCGGUAACAGCAGAACACAAAGCAGCACCGGACUUUGAAACGUGCUGCGCUCAUAUUUAUUUAUAGACGGUUUCAACCAUAGACAUAAUAAAUACAUAGACGCCUCAUUGGCCGCUCGACCGCACGUCAACGGCGCCGCCAUAUUGGUGCGGGCAACUCUCCAUAAAUCUCAUACCGGGACAGAAGAAAACAUACCUGACUCAGCGGCAGCUUGGGCAUCUACAGACCGUCGCACAUUAAUAACAACAGAUCUCGGGGUAUUAUCUUUCACAGCCAACUGCAAACAGGACAAAGCAAGCCUUAAGGAAAGCUGAAGAAAGCAUGUUUCCUGCAUUUCCUAGAGACUAGGCUACACCUCCACAGCCUAAUGUUGUAUUUGUACUCGUUAAAACCCAGAACAGCCCUGAAUGAAUGGCCAGAAUGACCCUGAUCAUAUUCAAACCACUCUCUCUCCCCGGAACAGACUUCCAGGAGCAUUUUUUAACCUUUGUAAGGGUAACUUUUAUAACAAUAUAAUUACCUUAUUAAAUGUUUCUGUCAUUUUUGUCAAAUAUUUAAAAAUAACCAGUUUCUUCAGUCAAUCACAAUACUAUAGACUGCAUUUAAAAUUAUUUACACAGGCUGUUUAAUGCUGAUCAUGUACUUUAUGUGCAUUUACACAAAAACUGCAUAAUGUAAAUAGCCUAGAAAUGAGAAACACAGGAACUCCUUAGUGAGUGAAGCUGCAAUAUGACAAAAUCAUUGUUUAUUAUUGCUCUUUAUGUUGUAAUAAUGAUUAUUAAUUUUGAUUUAUAGAAAGUUUUUUUUUGGGGGGGGGUUGGCAUGUCAUAUUCUGGUCUGUGUUAAACAUAACUAUACUUUGACAUUUUGUUGUACAACGUAAACUGCACACACUCACACCCCAAACAUUCCUAUGUAGUAACAUAUAUUGAAAAAAAACGACUGCUUCAAAAUUUGUUUUCUGCAUGGAUGUGUGUAAUUUGCAUCGUAGAGCAAAAUGUCAAGCUUUGUCAAGUUGUUUACAUUAUUUUACUCAUUCAUUGAAAAACCUCAUUAGAAAAUAUAGGAAAAUCUUGAGGAAGCAGUGGAGAAUUAGUCUUUAUUAGUCAGGUUUUGUUGUCACAAUUAAUAUAUAUAUAUAUAUAUAUAUAUAUAAUACACAAAUAAAUACUCAAGGAGCUCAUUAAUUAAACAAUUUGGAAUUCAUGACCACAAUUUUUUGCUUGUCAUUAGUUGUCUUUGUUUAAUAAUUAUUAUACAAAUACCAUUAUAAAACUGUACUUUUCACGAUUAUUUAUAAUUUACUAUUAAUUUAUUCUUCAUUAUUGACUAUUCUGUAUUAUUCCACCCUUGAUAUUACAUAUUCUACUUGCUAUCUAUUGUUCAUUUAUUUAUUAUUGUAUUACACAUAUAAUUUGUGCUAUUAUAAAUCUAUUAUAUCAGUUAUGUUAUUGUGCUGUUGUACUUGCUUUUAAUAUUAUUCACUUUACUACAACUUGUACUACAUAUACAUUUUAAUGUUACAUAUCACUUUUACUAUAUUUUUACUGUGCAUCAGUGCAUAUUAGUUCACCACUGUAACUGUAAGUUUUACUGGAUCCAUAAAGAAUUAUCAGUUAUAUUUGUUAUUGCUUGUAGAGUUUUUAUCUGUAGCCUAUAGAGUGCUAUGAAAAUAGAAAGCAGACUACCAGUGUGUCCCUUUUUGAUUUGUAUUCGCUGGUUUUAUUAAAUUUUCUUAAAGAUGUAUUAUUUCGAUUUUUUCCCCUCAGUAUUUCAAAGGGAACGAGCUGUGUUCUGACCUAGCACGAGAAAAGCUCAAAUGUUGGGGUUGAAGACAGAGAAAGCAAUGAAACAACUUAAUUUAAUUUAAUGUACAUUAAAAUUACAUUACAUGUAUAUGUCACAGUUAUACUACAUCAAUAUUAGAAUUGUUAACCGAAAAAAAUCAACCAAAUCAACACGAGUGUGAGCUUUUACAAUUUCUUAAGAAAAUUAUUAAUUUUCCAAGCCUAACUGAAUAACUGGAGGCAGAGUUAUUUUUAACUCCAUGUAGAUCACAAACCACUGAAAUUGCUUGAUAAAUGUAAACUUUAUCGUGUUUUUAUCCCGAAAAAACCGCAGCUCCCCCGUUUACCUCCAUUUGUUUUUAAGGCAGUCUUGCCCUCACAAACAUGGCGGACGUGUUGACGUAUCGCAGCAACGGACCGAAGCGGUCAAUGAGGCGUCUAGGUAUUUAUAUGUCUAUGGUUUCAACCAUAGAUAUAUAUAGUUUCAACGGCAACAACAUAAACAAACGUUACUGCGCAUGCGCGCUUUUGUGGCCCUAACAUAACUUCCGGUAGACAUCCAAAUACAGUCAGUAACAACAGCUAAGUCCCUCUAGAGUAGAUUAUUUUUUGAUAAGCAAAAUAUGUUUGCUGCGUAAAUCAGACGGACUGAGAUGCAGCGUUAACUACUUGGACGGACUUAUUAAAAAAGCAAAUUCAUUCUCUGCCAGCAGGAGGCCCUUUAAAGCGGGAGAACUAGAGGUUUCCCCGGAAACGGCUGUUGGGCUGUAGGUUACACAAAGCAGCGUUGAGCUUACAAACGUUGCUUUAUCAGGCAUAUAACAUGCCAGAUUUAAUGAAAAUGACAUCGAACAUUUUCUAAAGACAGUGUUCCUUCAGAAAUACAGUGAUAUAAAAACACCCGCGCCUCGUUUUGAUUUUUAAACAUGCAUUACGUGCUCAUGUUUAUUCAACGAAGCCUUUUGGAAAAUCGGUCAGUUUUGAUAUCAUGGUGGGUCGCCACAAAUAAAUAAAUGUAUGUGAAACAUCCCACAGCACAACAACCUGAGCCCAACUUCAUUACUCAUCACUUUAACUUUAAUUGCCUUUGUAGCCGGCGCCACCAACAAGACCGAUAAACAAACACAGACCCAGGGCUCUCAAGUGUCACGCAUUGAGCGUGACAGUCACUCAUUUCGGUCUUUUGUCACGCACUCCCGCCACACAUUGUAUUUCUCACGCAGAAAAACUAUUUAUAAUAUAUUAAUAUGCCGCAGCGCCCAAACGAUAUCUGGUCGCGCCGCUCUCACUAUGGAACCCGGCAGGAAUCAAGCGCGUCUCCCCUGGAGUUCUUAAUCGAGCCUGCCACUUAUCCGCCAAUCAAAAAAAGAAAUAGGCUACACAAUAGCCAAUCAGAAAAUUGCACUAUUGUAUCCGGGUAAGAUUUAACGCAACAACCAAUAAAAAAAAGUAUAUCCUGGAAUUGUGCACCAUCUUCCUCGUUCACCCACAGAGAAAACCACUGGCGCUCCGAACAUCACUUUGAGCACUGAAUGUCAGGUAAAAGGCAACUAAGCAUCCUUUCAUUCACCCUGAGAGGAAAGCCCCCCAAAAAGGGCAGGUUACAGGAUGCUGGCCCGGAGAAGGUGGCGAAAAUGGUAGGCACAUUAGAGGAGGAGACAGAGGAGGAGACGGUGCAGGUGGAAAAUGAAGAGACAGUGCAGGUGGAAGAUGAUGAGACAGUGCAGGUGGAAGAUGAUGAGACAGUGCAGGUGGAAGAUGAAGAGACGGUGGAGGAGAUGGCUAAGGUGUCAGAAGAGGCCAUCAAAACAAAAGGGAGAAAAGUACCAGGAGCAGCCACCUACAAGAGCUCUUUUAAUAAUGAAUGGACCUCUAAAUGGCCAUUUAUUACUGUAGGAAGCACCAGCUCCUAUUACUGGUGUUCUAUCUGCCGCCAAGAGAACUCAUGUGCCCAUCAAGGUGUGCGGGAUGUGACAAGGCACAUAGAAAGAGAAAAACUCAAUGUGGGUUUCACCACCAGAGCUACGCUCAACAGGCUCCUUGAGGCUGGAGAGGUCACAUCACAGAAGGCUCAACAAUUCCAGCAGGCAGCACUGGCCUUUUUGGUCAGAGCUGUGGAGUAUGCCAUGGAUAAACUCCCUUUGAAAGAUGCUCUCCUGAAGCAUGCCAGAUUUAUUGAUGUGCAGCUGAGAGCUGAGUGUGGGGUUGAAGAUGCCCUAUUACUUUGUAGACAGAUUUCAGGAACUCCUUCCUUUUCAUGACCCAAAGGAACAAGACCAAGUAAGUGAGGAGUUUAUGGAGUACCAACUCAUGGACAUUGCCUUGCCCCAGGACCCAACAGUCUUUGAUGUUGAGGAGUUUUGGGGAAGAAUGUCCACAACAAAGAACAAGACGCCAGCGAAUGACCGACCGACCCAGCCCUAAAGAAGGGAGCUCCGGAAUUGUCACCGCACGGCACGAACCACGCACGGAGAGCACCGCACCACAGCCUUCAACCACUCCACACCUAUCACGCCACUCUUUAUUCAAUAAAUCCACCCUCCGGGGUAUUUAUUUGAGCUCUCCUUGUCGCGUGAUUCUUCCACCCCGUCACAGUGGUGGAGAAUGCGGGCAUGAAUGGAAGAUUUCACCGGCAAGUGAACUCCACCUCCUAAUCAGCGU